CCCUUAGAUGUUCUGGGCUGCACGCGCGCUACACUGAUGCAUGCAACGAGUUUUCGACCUUGCCUGAAAAGGUUGGGUAAUCUGUUUAACAUGUGUCGUGAUGGGGAUAGACCAUUGCAAUUAUUGAUCUUCAACGAGGAAUUCCUAGUAAGCGCGAGUCAUCAGCUCGUGCUGAUUAUGUCCCUGCCCUUUGUACACACCGCCCGUCGCUCCUACCGAUUGAAUGAUCCGAUGAAUAUCAUGGAUUGAGGAUGCAAGCAGGUUCGCCUGUCUUCAUCUUCGAGAAGUGAAGUAAAUCUUAUCAUUUAGAGGAAGGAGAAGUCGUAACA
rnacentral:rRNA from 1 species